rnacentral:rRNA from 1 species
GACAGAGGGGGCAAGCGUUGCUCGGAAUCACUGGGCGUAAAGGGCGCGUAGGCGGGAUGGCAAGUCGGUCGUGAAAUCCUUCGGCUCAACCGAAGAACGUCGGCCGAUACUGCCGUUCUUGAGGGAUGCAGAGGAGAUUGGAAUUCCCGGUGUAGCGGUGAAAUGUGUAGAGAUCGGGAGGAACACCGGUGGCGAAGGCGGGUCUCUGGGCCGAUACUGACGCUGAGGCACGAAAGCGUGGGGAGCAAACAGG